rnacentral:lncRNA from 1 species
UUUCAGAGUUAGGUCAGCUCUGCGCACAUCCUGAAGUGAAAUUAACCCAUUUUCUUCUAUCUUCACACAGUCCAAAAGAGAAAGAAAAGAUCAUCUCAAGCAGAAAUGAAAGGAUAUGGAGAUUACAUGCUCAUAUGGAAGGCCAAGGAAAGUCAAGCAGGAAAAAGCAAGAGGGUAAACACAAGACAAGGAGUCACCAAGCACUACUGUUCCACUAUCAUCACUGCAGUCUGGCUCUCUGCAGUUUUGUUUUACUGAUACAGGAAGUAAUGCCAUUUCAUGUACCCAAGAGAGACACCAAGAAAGGCUAUAAGUGCAGUCCUGCUUCUGCUCCAAUCAAACACAGCUUAUCUGUAAAUGGCAUCCCUAAGAGGAUCUUUGCUAAUGUGACUCCAACGUUACAAGAAAAAGGAUAAUGGGAUUCUGGAGCAAGCAUGCUUUCAUUUACUCUGUUGGAAGUAUGGAAUUAAGAACUGAUUUCCGUGGAUAUAUUCCUUGUUUCUCUAAAAGCACAAUCUGUCUCUAGGGUUACCUUCAGUACUGGAAGUGCAGUUCUGAUCUGCAGAUUUGUCCUGAUGAGAAGGAAAACGACAUAAAAGAAUUAGGAUGAAGAAGGCAUGCAAGAAUAAAUCUUUGCAGUAUAUAAUUUUGCA